GAGUUUGAUCCUGGCUCAGAACGAACGCUGGCGGCAGGCCUAACACAUGCAAGUCGAGCGAGACCUUCGGGUCUAGCGGCGGACGGGUUAGUAACGCGUGGGAAUAUACCCUUCACUACGGAAUAGCCUCGGGAAACUGGGAGUAAUACCGUAUACGCCCUUUGGGGGAAAGAUUUAUCGGUGAAGGAUCGGCCCGCGUUGGAUUAGGUAGUUGGUGGGGUAAUGGCCUACCAAGCCGACGAUCCAUAGCUGGUUUGAGAGGAUGAUCAGCCACACUGGGACUGAGACACGGCCCAGACUCCUACGGGAGGCAGCAGUGGGGAAUCUUAGACAAUGGGGGAAACCCUGAUCUAGCCAUGCCGCGUGAUCGAUGAAGGCCUUAGGGUUGUAAAGAUCUUUCAGCUGGGAAGAUAAUGACGGUACCAGCAGAAGA
rnacentral:rRNA from 1 species